AGCCAGAGGGCACAAGGGGGCUUUCAUCUACCUCUGGUUUUGAAAUUCUGAAUGGAUUUUGGAUAACAAAGACCAAAUUAAAAAAAUCUCAAAAACUAAAACCAACAAAAACAGUGUCCAGAUACUGAUAAAAGGAUUGGGAGCUUUCAACAGCACCAAACCACCCUGAAGUCCCAGGCUCCUCUCUGGCACAUGUCUGCCUCUCCCAGAGGAUGUAAUUGUAUUGCUGCUGAGGGAGAAGAUUUGGUUCCGUAAGGACUUCUGUACAGACCAGAAUACAUUCUCUUGUGCAGGAGCCCCUGAAUUUGCACAGAUAAAAGCUUCUUCCUAAAGUUUGUGCAGUCAGACCCUGUCGCACACAUUAUUGUGAAGAAAGUGAAAGAGAGAAGGUGAUCCAAACAUGACUAGAUUUGGAGAUUGCAAAUCAUCUGCACACCAUUGGUCCCACUCUAAUCUGCAGCACAGCAUCAAGAUCUCUGUUUUUUGGAGGCUUA